AGACCACACAACCCUCUGGUUCUUCUUGAUCCAUCUGGCCAUAGGAGCGGCAACUAUAGAGAAGUUCUAGAUGAACCUCCAUUAGGUAACCUGCCCAACCCAAAAGUUCUUAAUCUUUGUCAUUACCAUGGGCCUGGGCUAGUCGGCUACAACUUCAACUUUCUCAGGUCUACUUCACUUUCUUGUCUCCGACACACAUGACCCAAGAAGGAUAUGCU
rnacentral:lncRNA from 1 species